GCCUCCUUAGCUCAGUGGUGGAGUGUUGCACUUGUAUAAAGAAUGUGGUUUGAGUCAUAUCGCGUUAUAUUAUACAAUGCGAAGGCCAGUCGUUCAAUCCGGCUGGAGGCA